GAUGAAGAACGCAGCGAAAUGCGAUAAGUAGUGUGAAUUGCAGAAUUCAGUGAAUCAUCGAAUCUUUGAACGCACAUUGCGCCUUCUAGUAUUCUGGGAGGCAUGCCUGUUUGAGCGUCAUUAAACCUCUCUCAAGUAUGAUUACUUGGAUGUGAAGGAAGAGUACCUUAAACUUAAGGAGUGUUCUCCUUUGAAAUUGAUUAGCAGAUGGUAAUGUUAUUAAAUCCCUGAUGUUGUAAGAAAUAACAGUUGUUUUGUAGACUAUUAUCUAGCUUUAAAUUAUAAUUUUUAUUAUGGUUGACCUCAAAUCAGGUAAGGAUACCCGCUGAACUUAAGCAUAUCAAUAAGCGGAGGA
rnacentral:misc_RNA from 1 species